UACGGAGGGUGCAAGCGUUGUCCGGAUUUAUUGGGUUUAAAGGGCUCGUAGGCGGCCAACUAAGUCAGACGUGAAAUCCCUCAGCUUAACUGGGGAACUGCGUCUGAUACUGGAUGGCUUGGAUUCGGGAGAGGAAUGCGGAAUUCCAGGUGUAGCGGUGAAAUGCGUAGAUAUCUGGAGGAACACCGGUGGCGAAGGCGGCAUUCUGGACCGAUAUUGACGCUGAGGAGCGAAAGCCAGGGGAGCAAACGGG
rnacentral:rRNA from 1 species